rnacentral:rRNA from 1 species
GAUGAACGCUGGCGGCGUGCCUAAUACAUGCAAGUCGAGCGAACAGACGAGGAUCUUGCGCCUCUGACGUUAGCGGCGGACGUGUGAAUAACACGUGUAUAACCUACCUAUAAUAGUGGUAUAACUUCGGGAAACCGGAUCUAAUACCGUAUGAUAUCUUGAACCGCAGGGGUCGAUGGUGAGAGACGGUGUUGCGGUCUCUUAUAGCUGGUUCCGGGCCGCAUUAGAUAGUUGUUAAGUUAACGGCUUACCAAGGCGACGAUGCGUAGCCGACCUGAGAGGCUGAUAGGCCACCUUGGAACUGAGACACGGUCAAGACUACUACGGGAGGCCGCAGUAGGGAACCGUACGCAACGGGCGAAAGCCUGACGGAGCAAGGCCGAGUGAGUGAUGAAGGUCUUCGGAGCGUAAAACCCUGUUACUAGGGAAGAACAAAUGUGUAAGUAACUAUGGACGUAUUGACGGUACCUAAUCAGAAAGCCCCGGCUAACUACGUG